rnacentral:rRNA from 1 species
GGUUAAACAGAAAAGAGCGUAGGGCGGAUGCCUUGGCACUAAGAGCCGAUGAAGGACGUGAUAAGCUGCGAUAAGCUGCGGGGAAGAGCAAAUAUCUAUUGAUCCGCAGAUUUCCGAAUGGGGAAACCUACUGCAGAAGACCUGCAGUGACUGUGCGUAAAUCCAUAGCGUACAGCCGGGAACCCGCUGAACUGAAACCUCUAAGUAGGCGGAGGAAGAGCAAACAACCGUGAUUCCGAAAGUAGUGGCGAGCGAAAUCGGAAGAGCCCAAACCGAGGUGCGUGCACUUCGGGGUUCGGAC